rnacentral:rRNA from 1 species
CAGAGGUCCCAAGCGUUGUUCGGAUUUACUGGGCGUAAAGGGUGCGUAGGCGGUUGUUUAAGUCUGACGUGAAAUCUCCGGGCCUAACCCGGAAACUGCGUUGGAUACUAUUCGACUAGAGGAAUGGAGGGGAGACUGGAAUACUUGGUGUAGCAGUGAAAUGCGUAGAUAUCAAGUGGAACACCAGUGGCGAAGGCGAGUCUCUGGACAUUUCCUGACGCUGAGGCACGAAAGCCAGGGGAGCAAACGGGAUUAGAUACCCCGGUAGUCCUGGCCCUAAACGGUGCGCGUUUGCUGUAAGUGGAAUCGACCCCACUUGUGGCGUAGUUAACACGUUAAACGCGCCGCCUGGGAAGUACGGCCGCAAGGUUA